AUGCUCGCCUUCCUUUACGUUCCUCGCUUCACACACCCCAAGGGGGCAAAAGCGGAGCGAAGAGAAAAGAGGGUUCAAAUGUCUCUGCCAGUCCACAGUUGCACAACUUCGGAGUCAGGCUCUGUCUCCAGCAGCAGCCCAGGGACCCAGCGGCAGCUAUUAACAUGCGGCAGUCAUAGCUGGGGUUGCUUCUCCUCUUGCUGCUGCUGCCGCCGCCGCCGCCGCUUAAGAAAAGACGCUGCCGAAGAGACCAAAAAUCUUCCACCAUCCCCCCAGCCGAUCUUUAUAUCCAGUUCUCCCACCCCACCCCCCUUCUCUUUCUUUUUCUUCUUCCACGUCCUCCCCUUUCCGCCUCGGAGCGGGAGCGAUGGAAUAGGUAGGGGGAGCCUCGAGGGCCAGGGGUGGCUUCUCCGCCAAACCGUCCUCCUCCUCGUCCUCCCGAGGUUCUCUCCCAGCCGAGGGUCCCCUCUCACGCCCGCAACCUCCGCGGACAGCCUGAGCGAGAACCACACAAACUCCUUCCCCGGUGCACGGAGGGGGCGCGCGGGCAGAGCGGGCGCCCGGCCGCCGAGGGCUGCGUCCCGGGGGCCGGGCAGCUGCGGGCAUGUGGGAGCUUCAUCGCGCAGCCCCGGGCUCCGCGCCGCCGCCGCUGUCUCUUUGGUUCUUUCUCUUCUUCGACUCCCCAAGAGCGAGCGAGGCACUGGCGCUCUCCAGACACGCACACUCACACACGCGCACACACGAGCGAGCUCCUGCCAAAGCAAACCGUGCAACCCGCGCGCGCGCACACCAGUAGGAAGAGGACCGAGGCAAAAAGAGAAGAAAGAAAGGGGAGGGGGCGAGUCACAGGCGGCGGCGGCGGCGGCGGCAGCAGCUGCCGGAGCGGAGGCAACGAGCAGUCCGAGAAAAACCAGCAGCGGCGGCGGCGGCGGCGGCGGCGCCCACCCCGACCAGCUGCAGCAUCUGCAUCCCCGCUCCUGGGAACUGGAGCAAGCGGUGCCUGGCCAGCAGGCGAGGGGGGCGACGCGCCGAGAGUGGGGCAGAGCGCGGGCGCGCGGGGGCCGUGCAGCCUGCGCGCGGGGUAGUCGCAGCCGGGGCCCAAGCCGAGGCCAGAAUGAGCCGCGGUCGGGCGGGCCAGCGGCGAGAGCUCGGAGAGCCGAGGAGGGGGCUAGCGCCAGGGAAAGGGGUGGCCGACAAAACCUGGAUCUGGAGUGCUCGUGGGCUCCGCGGCGCGGGCUCCACCUAGCAGUUCGGCAAACGCUUGGAGGUGGGAACGGGAGGGCUGCUAUAGAAGCUUCCCUUUCAGGGUUUGUCAGACAAAGGGUACCUCUCCAGUGGCUUCAAGGCUCGCCUCGGCUCGCGCUCUCUCUGUCUCUCUCUCUCUUUCUCUCUCUCUCUCUCUCUCAUUCUUUCGCUCUCUCCCCUCCUCUUCCUCCUCCAUCCCUCCCUCCCUCUCUCCCCCUCCCACUCUUCAUCACCCCCCCCUUCCUCCUCCUUUCUCCUCUAGUCUUCCUCUCCAGUUCCACCCUAGGUGAGUAAACGACAUCAGCUUGAAAGUCCUGCCAGUGUCUCAUUUUUUUCAGGUGCGAAUUAUUCCGUAUUUCCAUUAUGCAAGUACCGAGUCUGAAAAUGUUUCCUGCCUUUGGUCCAUUUUAUGUUCCUUCAAACUUAACCUGCAAGUUCAUUGCACAGUUUAAAGUAUCCCUGUCUGGUGAUCAAUCGUGGAGAUUCAAUUAUCUUAUUUCACAACAUCAAUGGAAAUUACCAUAAUGAGUACAGAAAGGUGCCGAUUCCAAAGCCAUGCCUUCUGAUAGAGGAAAAGUCUGGUCAAGUUAAAUGAGUGACCUUGGUCAAUUGCUGAACCUUUUGGUGCCUUCUUUGUAAAGGAGAGUGUUGAGUAGAUAAUUUGUAAGAUCUUUUCCUGCUCUAAAAUUUCGUGAUUUCGAAUAGCUAAGAUGUUAUUUUCUAUACUAGUACACUCAAAUCGCUAAGAUUUAUCAUAUUCAUUCAACAAGCACAGUACAUCCGUAGCUAAAUUUCCCAAAUUGUAUUUGAUUGUAUACAUUUAGAAUGAUCUAACAACUUGUAGGAGCUCUUUAAAAGGUAACAUCAAUCCUAGUAUAUCUGAAGAAACUGAAACCUCAUUAGAAUUAAAACCAUACCCAACACAAAGUGACAGUUAAAAUCUCAUUCAUUCUUUAAAGCUCAACUCCAAUCCAGCAUUCUCCAAGAAGCCUCUUCUCACCAAGUUCCCUCCCCAAAAAUCACUCCUUUCAUGAUACCCUGAAACCCUUUGAUGAUAUCUCUUCACUAACACCUAUUUUAUUCUGCCCUUUUCCUUGUUCCUUUUUAAUCAUUAAUGGUUUGUCCAUUUGCCUCUUCAGAUUACAGUUUUUCUUGAAUGCAAAUUCCUAGUUUUAAUUAUCUGUAUAAGGAAAGAUUAUAUCUACAGUCCUUUGCGCAUAGUUACUCCUUAAAAAAAAAUCAGGGGUGGGAAGGGAGAUUUAAUGAUAUUGCUAAAUUCUGACCAACUAGAUGGUCAUAAGCUGAAGUUAGGCUAUUUGAAUUUGCCUAAUACAGGACCUCCAUGAACUCCCCUGGGUACUUAAAGAAAAUACAAAUUGACAUCUGGAGUCACUUGUUACUUAAAUAGUUUUGGAAAGAGUAGACUCUAGCCAAUUGUGACAAGAGGCUCUUAUUUGUAAAGGAGGAAAAAUGGAAGUUACUCA
rnacentral:lncRNA from 1 species